UCGCACUCACAUGCUGUCAUGCUCGCUCACACUCACACCGUUGCCCACUCACGUGCUAUCACUCUCACGGUGAAGUCUGCACCUGCCACCACUCAGGUUGCGAUGUGUGUUUCACUUUCAGCUCCUCUAAGGUUUUACUCGCCCUGGCUCCACCAAACUGGAUUUUACUAUAGUCUAUACUUAAAUAUUGUUCAUCUCUUCUUCUACACAAAAGUAUUAAGAAUUUACCUGCCUGUAAGUUAUUGGAAUAUCUUGGGCAAAAGCGAAUAAACUUUUCCUUUUCCCUUGUUCGACACCCCCUCGUCAGUGACCCCCACGACACGACCCCACCACCCUAUCUGGCUUGGCAUGUGAUGCUUCGGGAAGGGCACGGGGUUCACAUGGCUCCUGUUACCCUCUAAGCCUCAGAAAACAUUGGCACAGGCAGAGAGGAGAGCUGUCAUCUGAGUCUCUCUGUGGGAUCCUGGGCUCUUAGGGAAAGGCCGGACAGGGAGGGGUGGGAGAGAUUUCUGUGGCCUCCAAGAUUCCUGGGAAGGCGAAGUCUGGAUUUCCUUGGAGAGGAAGGAGGGUGUAGGCCAGCCACAUAAUUAGGGUGCAGUAGACAAACAGAAAUCAUUUCUUUUGGUCCCUCAUCUGCCUCAAGGCUGCGUUUGCUCCACGUGGCCGCACAGGCAUUUGCGUCUGUGCCCUUUGGGACUGGCAGAGAUGGAGGAGGAAGCCUUAAGCACCGUCUCUCCUGAUUAGCGCUCCACACGGCUCCUCUCCACAGCCCCCCCCCACCCACAAUGUCCCACUACUCAGACACGUGGGCCGUGGGUACAGAGGGAAAGGGACCUUGGGAAGAAUAGGGAGCCAAGCCACUCUUCACCCUCCCAGGUCACCCAUAGCGGGUCACAUGGGGACACGGUGGCCACUCACCCCCUGCCACUGAGUCCCACAGUACAGCUGCGCCUGUGGUCAGAUGCCACAGGGACACCAUAGCACCCGUCUAUUGUGUCAUUUCCUUGCUGCAUGAGGACCGAUGAUGUCCCCAGAGGCUCACUGGCUUCCCACAGCACAGAGGGACCUGGCACCGCUACCCCAAGAUGGUAUUGUCAAAACUAAACUACCUCCAUUUUUAUUUUUAAAAGUAUGAUGUCAAUGCAUAAAAUAAAAAUUGCUUUCUGUCAGAUGCUUCUUUAUUCAAGCCCCUAAAGAAAUGUUUUCUUGCCUAAGACAGCUCAUAUUAAAAUGUCUAAAGCCCAAAAGAAGUCUAAUAAAUUUCAGCUUUAUGACUUUGUUUACUCUGGGUGUAGGAAAAGAAGUCUUUUUUAUGUAGCCUAGUUUCCAGAACUUCAGGGUCAAAAGUUAACAAAUUUGGGGAAAACAGAAGAGAAAAGAUAGCAUACAGUAUUCUGUUUUCCUAUUAAAAUGAGGAAAACAAAGGAGUCAUCAGAACUAUAAUUUAUGGGAAAGUGUGCAGACAUCCAUCUGCUUUUAUUGAAAAAAUACACUGCAGAUGUUGGGCCUAAUUAUGAAUCCUCCAUUUUCUUGGUGAAAAACUUUAGUGGCAUCUCAAUCUCUGAUCAGUAAACUGGGUGUCGUAGCACUUACAAAAUAGAAUUAUUUCAUUGAUCUUUAGCCAUCUAUUUUUUUUUUGUAGAUGAGAGAGCAUUCAGCAUGAAGGCUGUUUCUAUCUGAAUACUAAAUGUUGGUUUCAUUCCCACAGGUUCACAGCAAACAGGAUUCCUAAAUGCCCUUAAGGACAGUCCUGCAAGUGUCCUGGAGGCUGUGGUGUGCUUCUUCUCUGUCUGGUCCAUCGUUGGCCUCUCAGGAUUCCACACCUACUUGAUCAGCUCCAACCAGACGACAAAUGAGGACAUUAAAGGAUCCUGGUCAAAUAAAAGAGGUAAAGAAAAUUACAAUCCCUACAGCUACGGAAAUAUCUUUACCAACUGCUGUGUUGCCCUGUGUGGGCCCAUCUCACCAAGCCUAAUUGACAGAAGAGGGUACAUCCAGCCCGACACGCCGCAGCCAGCAGCACCCUCCAAUGGCAUCACCAUGUACGGGGCCACGCAGUCACAGAGUGACAUGUGCGACCAAGACCAGUGCAUUCAGAGCACCAAAUUCGUUUUGCAGGCCGCGGCCACGCCCCUGCUGCAGAGCGAGCCCAGCCUCACCAGCGAUGAGCUGCACCUGCCCGGGAAGCCCGGCCUGGGCACGCCCUGCGCCAGCCUCACACUGGGCCCGCCCACACCUCCCGCCUCCAUGCCCAACCUCGCCGAGGCCACGCUCGCGGACGUGAUGCCCCGGAAAGAUGAGCACAUGGGCCACCAGUUCCUGACGCCCGAUGAGGCGCCCUCGCCCCCCAGGCUGCUGGCGGCGGGCAGCCCCCUGGCGCACAGCCGCACCAUGCACGUGCUGGGCCUGGCCAGCCAGGACUCCCUGCACGAGGACUCCGUGCGCGGCCUGGUGAAGCUCAGCUCCGUGUGACCCACGUGGCCCCGGGCCGGGGGGCACCAGAGGCUCCUCCACGGGCAGCGGGAGUGAGCAGAGGGGUGUGCCCCACAGUGACUUUCCCAGCCAGUGCCAUGGUGGAGAUGACAGCCCCAGGUCUGGGGUACAGAGACCAAUUAGGAUGGCACAGGGCGGCCGGCCCCGGAUGCUGAGAGCUUGGUUUCAUUUGAAUUUUCUUCCCCAACCUGAGUGCUUUGACAACAACGGAAAUAGAGAAGUGGCUGCUUUCUUUUGGUGACCCUCCAGGGGUGGAAUCGGAGUGUGUCUGCCCGCCCUUGUGACAGACACACGGAAGGCUUCUGACGCUUGUGGCCAGACUGCAAUUGCACUUACGUGUUAUGCUACUAAUAUUUGAAACAGACCUGCAAUUCCAUUUGUUAAUU
rnacentral:sRNA from 1 species